rnacentral:rRNA from 1 species
CCUACGGGAGGCAGCAGUGAGGAAUAUUGGUCAAUGGGCGCGAGCCUGAACCAGCCAAGCCGCGUGCGGGCAGACGGUCCUAUGGAUUUUAAACCUCUUUUGUCGGGGAGCAAAAGACGCCACGCGUGGCCUUCCGAGUGUACCCGAAGAAAAAGCAUCGGCUAACUCCGUGCCAGCAGCCGCGGUAAUACGGAGGAUGCGAGCGUUAUCCGGAUUUAUUGGGUUUAAAGGGGGCGCAGGCGGAAUAUAAAGUCAGCGGUAAAAGUGAGGGGCUAAACCUCGUCGAGCCGUUGAAACUGGGUGUCUUGAGUGAGCGAGAAGUAUGCGGAAUGCGUGGUGUAGCGGUGAAAUGCAUAGAUAUCGCGAAGAACUCCGAUUGCGAAGGCAGCAUGCCGGCGCUAAACUGACGCUGAUGCACGAAAGUGUGGGUAUCGAACAGGAUUAGAUACCCUUGUAGUC